rnacentral:SRP_RNA from 1 species
CGUCAGGGACUAUGGAUGGAGGGCUUACGAACCCCGCCAGGGCAGGAAUGCAGCAACGGUAGUUUGACCUUCCUUGCCGUAGCUCUCUGGCGGAC